UACAGAGGAUGCAAGCGUUAUCCGGAAUGAUUGGGCGUAAAGCGUCUGUAGGUGGCUUUUUAAGUCCGCCGUCAAAUCCCAGGGCUCAACUCUGGACAGGCGGUGGAAACUACCAAGCUGGAGUACGGUAGGGGCAGAGGGAAUUUCCGGUGGAGCGGUGAAAUGCGUAGAUAUCGGAAGGAACGCCGGUGGCGAAAGCGGCGUGCUGGACCCCUUCUGACGCUGAGGCGCGAAAGCCAGGGGAGCAAACGGG
rnacentral:rRNA from 1 species